AGCGUACACGGUGGAUGCCCUGGCAGUCAGAGGCGAUGAAGGACGUGCUAAUCUGCGAUAAGCGUCGGUAAGGUGAUAUGAACCGUUAUAACCGGCGAUUUCCGAAUGGGGAAACCCAGUGUGAUUCGUCACACUAUCAUUAACUGAAUCCAUAGGUUAAUGAGGCGAACCGGGGGAACUGAAACAUCUAAGUACCCCGAGGAAAAGAAAUCAACCGAGAUUCCCCCAGUAGCGGCGAGCGAACGGGGAGCAGCCCAGAGCCUGAAUCAGUGUGUGUGUUAGUGGAAGCGUCUGGAAAGGCGUGCGAUACAGGGUGACAGCCCCGUACACAAAAAUGCACAUACUGUGAGCUCGAUGAGUAGGGCGGGACACGUGGUAUCCUGUCUGAAUAUGGGGGGACCAUCCUCCAAGGCUAAAUACUCCUGACUGACCGAUAGUGAACCAGUACCGUGAGGGAAAGGCGAAAAGAACCCCGGCGAGGGGAGUGAAAAAGAACCUGAAACCGUGUACGUACAAGCAGUGGGAGCACGCUUAGGCGUGUGACUGCGUACCUUUUGUAUAAUGGGUCAGCGACUUAUAUUCUGUAGCAAGGUUAACCGAAUAGGGGAGCCGAAGGGAAACCGAGUCUUAACUGGGCGUUAAGUUGCAGGGUAUAGACCCGAAACCCGGUGAUCUAGCCAUGGGCAGGUUGAAGGUUGGGUAACACUAACUGGAGGACCGAACCGACUAAUGUUGAAAAAUUAGCGGAUGACUUGUGGCUGGGGGUGAAAGGCCAAUCAAACCGGGAGAUAGCUGGUUCUCCCCGAAAGCUAUUUAGGUAGCGCCUCGUGAAUUCAUCUCCGGGGGUAGAGCACUGUUUCGGCAAGGGGGUCAUCCCGACUUACCAACCCGAUGCAAACUGCGAAUACCGGAGAAUGUUAUCACGGGAGACACACGGCGGGUGCUAACGUCCGUCGUGAAGAGGGAAACAACCCAGACCGCCAGCUAAGGUCCCAAAGUCAUGGUUAAGUGGGAAACGAUGUGGGAAGGCCCAGACAGCCAGGAUGUUGGCUUAGAAGCAGCCAUCAUUUAAAGAAAGCGUAAUAGCUCACUGGUCGAGUCGGCCUGCGCGGAAGAUGUAACGGGGCUAAACCAUGCACCGAAGCUGCGGCAGCGACGCUUAUGCGUUGUUGGGUAGGGGAGCGUUCUGUAAGCCUGCGAAGGUGUGCUGUGAGGCAUGCUGGAGGUAUCAGAAGUGCGAAUGCUGACAUAAGUAACGAUAAAGCGGGUGAAAAGCCCGCUCGCCGGAAGACCAAGGGUUCCUGUCCAACGUUAAUCGGGGCAGGGUGAGUCGACCCCUAAGGCGAGGCCGAAAGGCGUAGUCGAUGGGAAACAGGUUAAUAUUCCUGUACUUGGUGUUACUGCGAAGGGGGGACGGAGAAGGCUAUGUUGGCCGGGCGACGGUUGUCCCGGUUUAAGCGUGUAGGCUGGUUUUCCAGGCAAAUCCGGAAAACUAAGGCUGAGGCGUGAUGACGAGGCACUACGGUGCUGAAGCAACAAAUGCCCUGCUUCCAGGAAAAGCCUCUAAGCAUCAGGUAACAUCAAAUCGUACCCCAAACCGACACAGGUGGUCAGGUAGAGAAUACCAAGGCGCUUGAGAGAACUCGGGUGAAGGAACUAGGCAAAAUGGUGCCGUAACUUCGGGAGAAGGCACGCUGAUAUGUAGGUGAAGUCCCUCGCGGAUGGAGCUGAAAUCAGUCGAAGAUACCAGCUGGCUGCAACUGUUUAUUAAAAACACAGCACUGUGCAAACACGAAAGUGGACGUAUACGGUGUGACGCCUGCCCGGUGCCGGAAGGUUAAUUGAUGGGGUUAGCGCAAGCGAAGCUCUUGAUCGAAGCCCCGGUAAACGGCGGCCGUAACUAUAACGGUCCUAAGGUAGCGAAAUUCCUUGUCGGGUAAGUUCCGACCUGCACGAAUGGCGUAAUGAUGGCCAGGCUGUCUCCACCCGAGACUCAGUGAAAUUGAACUCGCUGUGAAGAUGCAGUGUACCCGCGGCAAGACGGAAAGACCCCGUGAACCUUUACUAUAGCUUGACACUGAACAUUGAGCCUUGAUGUGUAGGAUAGGUGGGAGGCUUGGAAGUGUGGACGCCAGUCUGCAUGGAGCCGACCUUGAAAUACCACCCUUUAAUGUUUGAUGUUCUAACGUUGACCCGUGAUCCGGGUUGCGGACAGUGUCUGGUGGGUAGUUUGACUGGGGCGGUCUCCUCCUAAAGAGUAACGGAGGAGCACGAAGGUUGGCUAAUCCUGGUCGGACAUCAGGAGGUUAGUGCAAUGGCAUAAGCCAGCUUGACUGCGAGCGUGACGGCGCGAGCAGGUGCGAAAGCAGGUCAUAGUGAUCCGGUGGUUCUGAAUGGAAGGGCCAUCGCUCAACGGAUAAAAGGUACUCCGGGGAUAACAGGCUGAUACCGCCCAAGAGUUCAUAUCGACGGCGGUGUUUGGCACCUCGAUGUCGGCUCAUCACAUCCUGGGGCUGAAGUAGGUCCCAAGGGUAUGGCUGUUCGCCAUUUAAAGUGGUACGCGAGCUGGGUUUAGAACGUCGUGAGACAGUUCGGUCCCUAUCUGCCGUGGGCGCUGGAGAACUGAGGGGGGCUGCUCCUAGUACGAGAGGACCGGAGUGGACGCAUCACUGGUGUUCGGGUUGUCAUGCCAAUGGCACUGCCCGGUAGCUAAAUGCGGAAGAGAUAAGUGCUGAAAGCAUCUAAGCACGAAACUUGCCCCGAGAUGAGUUCUCCCUGACUCCUUGA
rnacentral:rRNA from 1 species